AGCAGCCGCGGUAAUACGAAGGGUGCAAGCGUUACUCGGAAUUACUGGGCGUAAAGCGCACGUAGGCCGACUGUUAAGUCGGGGGUGAAAGCCUGGAGCUCAACUCCAGAACUGCCUCCGAUACUGGUAGUCUUGAGUCCGAGAGAGGUGAGUGGAAUUCCCAGUGUAGAGGUGAAAUUCGUAGAUAUUGGGAAGAACACCAGUGGCGAAGGCGGCUCACUGGCUCGGUACUGACGCUGAGGUGCGAAAGCGUGGGGAGCAA
rnacentral:rRNA from 1 species